GCAGAGAAAGAACUACGGUUUCAGGUGAAGAGUUAGAAAGCCACUGGCUGGCAAUCUUUCAUACUUCUUUAUCUUGGAGCAUUUGCAAGAUCCUUUAAACAUUCUAUACUGAAGAGACUAUGGUGGAAAAGAGCAAUGCAGAGCUGGCAGCAAGGCACUGAAGAAGCCUUGGGACUUCUAUGCCACCACACAGUGGAAAAGCACUUGGCACUCACUAUCUGAAGGAAUUCAUGCCAUGAUACUUAGAAUGUUGUGCUUGGCUACAUGACUUGGUUUAGCUAUUGGGAGGUUAUUGAACAUGAUGGCAGCAGAAACUUAAAAUAUGGAUGCACAAUUGGACUGGUCUUCUGAACUCCUAUCUUUAGCCUCAAGAAGACCAUGCCUUGAAUAACCAUUGUUCCAAGGAAGAUGAAAGACAUGAGUUGCAGAUCUGGAGUCAAUCCACAGCUUGGAGCAGGCCUAGCCAAGCCCAGACUCUAUCAGCCAAACCUCAGCAAAGUGAGAAAUAGAUGUUUAUUGUGGCACAUCACUGUAAUUAUGUGGUUGUUGUGGCAAUAGCAGACUGAUACAACAUUGAACCUCUAGUCAUGGGAGAGUGCUACUUUGUCAAUAAAUG